rnacentral:rRNA from 1 species
CCUACGGGAGGCAGCAGUGAGGAAUAUUGGUCAAUGGACGCAAGUCUGAACCAGCCAUGCCGCGUGCAGGAUGACGGCUCUAUGAGUUGUAAACUGCUUUUGUACGAGGGUAAACCCCGAUACGUGUAUCUGGUUGAAAGUAUCGUACGAAUAAGGAUCGGCUAACUCCGUGCCAGCAGCCGCGGUAAUACGGAGGAUCCGCGCGUUAUCCGGAUUUAUUGGGUUUAAAGGGUGCGUAGGUGGUUGGAUAAGUUAGAGGUGAAAUGUCGGGGCUCAACCCCGAAACUGCCUCUAAUACUGUUGGACUAGAGAAUAGUUGCGGUAGGCGGAAUGUAUGGUGUAGCGGUGAAAUGCUUAGAGAUCAUACAGAACACCGAUUGCGAAGGCAGCUUACCAACCUAUAUCUGACGUUGAGGCACGAAAGCGUGGGUAGCAAACAGGAUUAGAUAUCCUUGUAGUC